UAUACGACCGUACCGCAAACCGACACUGGUGCGCGAGAUGAGUAUUCUAAGGCGCUUGAGAGAACUCAGGAGAAGGAACUCGGCAAAUUGACACCGUAACUUCGGAAGAAGGUGUGCCCUAUUAGUGUGUAGUGAACAACGAAGCAUGAAUGGGUUGCAAAAAAUCGGUGGCUGCGACUGUUUAUUAAAAACACAGCACUCUGCAAACACGAAAGUGGACGUAUAGGGUGUGACGCCUGCCCGGUGCUGGAAGAUUAAAUGAUGGGGUGCAAGCUCUUGAUUGAAGUCCCAGUAAACGGCGGCCGUAACUAUAACGGUCCUAAGGUAGCGAAAUUCCUUGUCGGGUAAGUUCCGACCUGCACGAAUGGCGUAACGAUGGCCACACUGUCUCCUCCUGAGACUCAGCGAAGUUGAAAUGUUUGUGAUGAUGCAAUCUCCCCGCGGAAAGACGGAAAGACCCCAUGAACCUUUACUGUAGCUUUGUAUUGGACUUUGAACAGAUCUGUGUAGGAUAGGUGGGAGGCUUUGAAGCAGGGUCGCUAGAUCUUGUGGAGCCAACGUUGAAAUACCACCCUGGUGUGUUUGAGGUUCUAACCUAGGUCCAUUAUCUGGAUCUGGGACAGUGCAUGGUAGGCAGUUUGACUGGGGCGGUCUCCUCCCAAAGCGUAACGGAGGAGUUCGAAGGUACGCUAGUUACGGUCGGACAUCGUGACGAUAGUGCAAUGGCAUAAGCGUGCUUAACUGCGAGACUGACAAGUCGAGCAGAUGCGAAAGCAGGACAUAGUGAUCCGGUGGUUCUGUAUGGAAGGGCCAUCGCUCAACGGAUAAAAGGUACUCUGGGGAUAACAGGCUGAUACCGCCCAAGAGUUCAUAUCGACGGCGGUGUUUGGCACCUCGAUGUCGGCUCAUCUCAUCCUGGGGCUGUAGCCGGUCCCAAGGGUAUGGCUGUUCGCCAUUUAAAGAGGUACGUGAGCUGGGUUUAAAACGUCGUGAGACAGUUUGGUCCCUAUCUUCCGUGGGCGCUGCAGAUUUGAGGAAGCCUGCUCCUAGUACGAGAGGACCGGAGUGGACACACCUCUGGUGUAUCGGUUGUCACGCCAGUGGCAUUGCCGAGUAGCUAAGUGUGGAAGAGAUAACCGCUGAAAGCAUCUAAGCGGGAAACUCGUUUCAAGAUGAGAUCUGCCGGGGCCUUGAGCCCCCUAAAGAGUCGUUCAAGACCAGGACGUUGAUAGGUCAGGUGUGGAAGC
rnacentral:rRNA from 1 species